AUAAGCUGACCAUAUAUCUUGGUCUAUAAGUUCUAUGACGGCCCUAGCCCCUACCGCCGACCUCCGAUCUUCGACCUAUUCGUUGGCCUUCCGAUUUAUUGUCAGCAUUAUUGCUCUCAAGCUGUCGACUCCUGUACAUACUACUGGCCUCUUACUUCAGCCAUCAACUCGCAAUCAUCAUCAGACUCUAGCCACCUCCAUCUAGGACGGAUUUCAACUACAAUAAAUUAACGUUAGAAGAAGAACGGUUUGCCCACUAUUGGGAAGGAGCAUGCAAUCCAUUGCCAUGCCACCACGAAGAACGUCUUUGAAACGUCCUAAUGCCACGACAUGCUGGCCGGUUGAAACUCCGGUCGAGAAUCAUGCUCUGUACUAGCUGUCAGGGGCAUCCCCCAUAGCCCCCUCUGCCGGC
rnacentral:lncRNA from 1 species